GAUGAACGCUGGCGGCGUGCCUAAUACAUGCAAGUCGAGCGAACAGAUGAGGAGCUUGCUCCUCUGACGUUAGCGGCGGACGGGUGAGUAACACGUGGAUAACCUACCUAUAAGACUGGGAUAACUUCGGGAAACCGGAGCUAAUACCGGAUAAUAUAUUGAACCGCAUGGUUCAAUAGUGAAAGACGGUUUUGCUGUCACUUAUAGAUGGAUCCGCGCCGCAUUAGCUAGUUGGUAAGGUAACGGCUUACCAAGGCAACGAUGCGUAGCCGACCUGAGAGAGUGAUCGGCCACACUGGAACGGAGACACGGUCCAGACUCCUACGGGAGGCAGCAGUAGGGAAUCUUCCGCAAUGGGCGAAAGCCUGACGGAGCAACGCCGCGUGAGUGAUGAAGGUCUUCGGAUCGUAAAACUCUGUUAUUAGGGAAGAACAAAUGUGUAAGUAACUAUGCACGUCUUGACGGUACCUAAUCAGAAAGCCACGGCUAACUACGUG
rnacentral:rRNA from 1 species